rnacentral:rRNA from 1 species
AGAACGAACGCUGGCGGCAUGCCUAACACAUGCAAGUCGAACGCUUCCGGGGCUUCGGUCGCGGAGGAGUGGCGCACGGGUGAGUAGCGCGUGGGAACCUGCCCUGUUGUGGGGGAUAACCGAGGGAAACUUCGGCUAAUACCGCAUACGCCCCGGGACUUGGUCUUCGGAUUAGGUCUGGGGGGAAAGAUUGAUCGCAGCAGGAGGGGCCCGCGUCGGAUUAGCUGGUUGGUGGGGUAACGGCUCACCAAGGCGAUGAUCCGUAGCUGGUCUGAGAGGAUGAUCAGCCACACUGGGACUGAGACACGGCCCAGACUCCUACGGGAGGCAGCAGUGGGGGAAUAUUGGACAAUGGGGGCAACCCUGAUCCAGCAAUGCCGCGUGAGUGAUGAAGGCCUUAGGGUUGUAAAGCUCUUUCGCCCGCGACGAUGAUGACGGUAGCGGGAGAAGAAGCCCGGCUAACUUCGUGCCAGCAGCCGC